rnacentral:lncRNA from 1 species
GGCUGCGGGGGCACAUAUGGGCAUUGCAGGGCCUCUCCCCCCAUCCGGGCUAAGUGUAACCGGGCCUUCGACUUUGCUCCUGUUAGGGCGAGGUUCUCCUCCUGUCCCUAACAAGGCUAUGGGGGCACAUAUGGACGUUGCAGGACCUCUCCCCCCAUCCGGUCUAAGGGUAACCGGGUCUUCGACUUUGCUCAUGUUAGGAUGAGGUUCUCCUCCUGUCCCUAACAGGGCUGUGGGGGCGCAUAUGGGUGCUGCAGGGCCUCUCCCCCCAUCCGAUCUAAGUGUAAUCGGGCCUUCAACUUUGCUCCUGUUAGGGUGAAGUUCUCCUCCUGUCCCUAACAGGGCUGUGGGGGCACAUAUGGGUGUUGCAGGGCCUCUCCCCACAUCCGGUCUAAGGGUAACCGGGCCUUCAACUUUUCUCCUAUUAGGGCGAGGUUCUCCUCCUGUCCCUAACAGGGCUGUGGGGGCACAUAUGGGCAUUGCAGGGUCUCUCCCCCCAUCUGGUCUAAGGGUAAUCGGGCCUUCGACUUUGCUCAUGUUAGGGCGAGGUUCUCCUCCUGUCCCUAACAGGGCUGUGGGGGUGCAUAUGGGCGCUGCAGGGCCUCUCCCCCCAUCCGGUCUAAGUGUAACCUUGCCUUCGAUUGUGUCGAGAUGAGAUUCUCCUCCUGCUUUCGACAUGGUUUGUUUCAAGUCCUGUCGAUAUAGGCUCGUGCCAAG